rnacentral:rRNA from 1 species
UACGAAGGGGGCUAGCGUUGUUCGGAUUUACUUGGCGUAAAGCGCGCGCAGGCGGUCCUUCAAGUCAGGGGUGAAAGCCCAGAGCUCAACUCUGGAACUGCCUUUGAGACUGUAGGACUUGGGUAUGGGAGAGGUGAGUGGAAUUCCGAGUGUAGAGGUGAAAUUCGUAGAUAUUCGGAAGAACACCAGUGGCGAAGGCGGCUCACUGGCCCAUUACCGACGCUCAGGCGCGAUAGCGUGGGGAGCAAACAGG